rnacentral:rRNA from 1 species
UGGGGAAUUUUGGACAAUGGACGCAAGUCUGAUCCAGCCAUUCCGCGUGCAGGACGAAGGCCUUCGGGUUGUAAACUGCUUUUGUACAGAACGAAAAGGUUUCUACUAAUACUAGAAGCUCAUGACGGUACUGUAAGAAUAAGCACCGGCUAACUACGUGCCAGCAGCCGCGGUAAUACGUAGGGUGCAAGCGUUAAUCGGAAUUACUGGGCGUAAAGCGUGCGCAGGCGGUUAUGUAAGACAGAUGUGAAAUCCCCGGGCUUAACCUGGGAACUGCAUUUGUGACUGCAUGGCUAGAGUGCGGCAGAGGGGGAUGGAAUUCCGCGUGUAGCAGUGAAAUGCGUAGAUAUGCGGAGGAACACCGAUGGCGAAGGCAAUCCCCUGGGCCUGCACUGACGCUCAUGCACGAAAGCGUGGGGAGCAAACA